GGUCAGGACGAACGCUGGCGGCGUGCUUAACACAUGCAAGUCGAACGGGGAUUAGUUGAUAGAGAGCUUCGGCAGGAUAUCGAUUAAUUCGAGUGGCGGACGGGUGAGUAACGCGUGAGCAACCUGUCCCAGACAGGGGGAUAACACUUGGAAACAGGUGCUAAUACCGCAUAAGACCACGGGAUCACAUGGUUCCGGGGUAAAAGGAGCAAUCCGGUUUGGGGUGGGCUCGCGUCCGAUUAGCCAGUUGGCGGGGUAACGGCCCACCAAAGCGACGAUCGGUAGCCGACCUGAGAGGGUGAACGGCCACAUUGGAACUGAGAGACGGUCCAAACUCCUACGGGAGGCAGCAGUGGGGAAUAUUGGGCAAUGGGCGAAAGCCUGAACCCCCAGCAACGCCGCGUGAGUGAAGAAGGCCUUCGGGUUGUAAAGCUCUGUUAUAGUUGACGAAGGAAGUGACGGUAGGCUAUAAGGAAGCCCCGGCUAACUACGUGCCAGCCGCUGC
rnacentral:rRNA from 1 species